CCUACGGGAGGCAGCAGUGAGGAAUAUUGGUCAAUGGGCGCGAGCCUGAACCAGCCAAGUCGCGUGAGGGAAGACGGUCCUAUGGAUUGUAAACCUCUUUUGUCGGGGAGCAAAAGACGCCACGCGUGGCGUUCCGAGAGUACCCGAAGAAAAAGCAUCGGCUAACUCCGUGCCAGCAGCCGCGGUAAUACGGAGGAUGCGAGCGUUAUCCGGAUUUAUUGGGUUUAAAGGGUGCGCAGGCGGAAGAUCAAGUCAGCGGUAAAAUUGAGAGGCUCAACCUCUGCGAGCCGUUGAAACUGGUUGUCUUGAGUGGGCGAGAGGUAUGCGGAAUGCGUGGUGUAGCGGUGAAAUGCAUAGAUAUCACGCAGAACUCCGAUUGCGAAGGCAGCAUACCGGCGCUCAACUGACGCUGAUGCACGAAAGUGUGGGUAUCGAACAGGAUUAGAUACCCCAGUAGUC
rnacentral:rRNA from 1 species